rnacentral:tRNA from 1 species
GAGGGUAUAGGUCAGUGGUAGAGCACAUGCUUAGCAUACAUGAGGUCCUGGGUUCAAUCCCCAGUACCUCCA